CCCCCUGCAUGUGUAUCUGGAUGAGCCUAGAAGGCCACCGGAGCACACUGAUAUGAGACACUGAAAAAGCCUGUUAUAGUAAUAAGUUUAGUUAGCAUAAGUAGACUACAUUUUGUAUUAGCAUAAGUUAGCAUAAGUAGACCCCAUUUUAUUCUUAGACCAAAACUUGUAAACAACUCCACAAUAAGAUGUGUGUGUGAUUGAUAAGCUUUGGACAUGUACACAACUUUCCUGCCUGAGUGUAUACCUAGAUAACAGGGCAGCACCCGUGUAUGGCACCCGAUAGGAGACACUGAAGACGCCCAGCUUCAAGGAUUUAAGGAGAGCAAAUCUGCUGCGGUUCAGACACCUGUCUGCUCCUCCACAGCCAGACAUUCUCCUCCCCCCUGGAAACUGCCAAACUGCCAAACUGCCAAACUGCCAAACUGCCAUUCCUGCUCUGCCUUUGAGCCCAGACUGUUAAGAGGCCCCUCUUCGAGUCAAGAGACCGAGCUCCUGCUGCGGCGUAUUGGACCUCCAUGUGUCUCUGUCAGCGAGUGUCUCCGGGUGGCCUGCCAAGGACUGAAACCCAUCAGCUCUCUGAGUUCCUAUACCGAUCAAUUUCUUUGGAAGAUACCAUUUGAGAGUUUGGAAAGGAUAAUGGACAUUUUAAAGGACCUUGCAUCUGGAGUUCUGACAGCAGAGCCAAACCAGUGACUAGAAAGUUAUUGGUCUAGAAUACACCUGGACAUGGCUGUCAGCAGCUUUCACUUUGAACACAAAGGACAAUUAUGGUUGAAUUUCCUGACACAGAUACACAUAAUAUAGUAAACAGAGAUCCUCCUGUUGGAAGAAAGUGGGGUUAUUGGAGACUCAGAACAAGGCAUUGUACACAGAGAGAGGAAAAA